GUAGGGUGCGAGCGUUAAUCGGAAUUACUGGGCGUAAAGCGUGCGCAGGCGGUUAUGUAAGACAGAUGUGAAAUCCCCGGGCUCAACCUGGGACCUGCAUUUGUGACUGCAUAGCUAGAGUACGGUAGAGGGGGAUGGAAUUCCGCGUGUAGCAGUGAAAUGCGUAGAUAUGCGGAGGAACACCGAUGGCGAAGGCAAUCCCCUGGACCUGUACUGACGCUCAUGCACGAAAGCGUGGGGAGCAAAC
rnacentral:rRNA from 1 species